GGAAACGGUGAUUAAUACCUCGUAUGCUGAGGAGUGAAAGGUCGAAAGACCGCCAGGGGAUGGGCUUGCGUCUGAUUAGCUAGUUGGUGGGGUAAAUGCCUACCAAGGCGAUGAUCAGUAGCUGGUCUGAGAGGACAAUCAGCCACACUGGGACUGAGACACGGCCCAGACUCCUACGGGAGGCAGCAGUGAGGAAUUUUCCGCAAUGGGCUAACGCCUGACGGAGCAAUGCCGCGUGGAGGAGGAAGGCCUGUGGGUCGUAAACUCCUUUUCUCAGAGAAGAAGAUCUGACGGUAUCUGAGGAAUAAGCAUCGGCUAACUCUGUGCCAGCAGCCACGGUAAUACAGGGGAUGCAAGCGUUACCCGGAAUUAUUGGGCGUAAAGCGUCCUGAGGUGGCUUACCCAGUCGACUGUGAAAGCUCAAGGCUCAACCUUGAAACGGCAGUCGAAACUUGUAAGCUUGAGUACGGUAGAGGCAGAGGGAAUUCCCGGAGGAGAGGUGAAAUUCGUAGAUAUCGGGAGGAAGGCCAAAGGCGAAAGCACUCUGCUGGGCCGAUUACUGACACUGACAGACGAAAGCUAGGGGAGCG
rnacentral:rRNA from 1 species